UGUAGUCUCAAUGAGGAUGCAUAUGUGUCAACUAUUGGUGUUGGGUCCAACAAUUCGCAUUGGUCUCAAACCAAUGACAUCCAUUUGGAAGACCAUGAGUUUGAGGUGGACGAGGAGGGUGAGGGCAUUGUCGACGCACCGAAAGGAAGAGCGGGCAAUUACAGCACCAACGAUGACAAGUUACUAUGCAAUACUUAUUUGCAAGUGUCGAGGGAUCCAUCCAUUGGAGGUGAUCAAAGUAGAGAUGCGUAUUGGGGGCGAAUGAAAGAAUACUUUGAUGAUCACAACAUGAGUGGAAUUGACCGCUCGGAGAGAUCACUUCGGUCCCGAUGGUCCAUAAUCAACUCGGAUUGUCAAAAGUGGAAGAUGAGGACGAAGACGAGGAAGAUGUUUGAUGUGUCUUUCAUUUAUGUCUUGUGGGCAUGA
rnacentral:rRNA from 1 species